UAGCUGAGUGGUAAAGUGCUAGGCUUUUGAACCGGAGGGUCCCAGGUUCUAAUCCUGG
rnacentral:tRNA from 1 species